AGCGAACGCUGGCGGCGUACUUAACACAUGCAAGUCGAACGAGGAGCUUCGGUGUAGCAAUACAUCGGAGCUUCGAGUGGCGCACGGGUGAGUAACACGUGGGCAACCUGCCCUCGAGACCGGGAUACCCCCUCGAAAGGGGGGCUAAUACUGGAUACGCUCCUCGGGUCGCGAGACCUGGGGAGGAAAGGUGGCGCAAGCUGCCGCUCUUGGAGGGGCUCGCGGCCAUCAGCUAGUUGGUGAGGUCACGGCUCACCAAGGCGAUGACGGGUAGCUGGUCUGAGAGGACGACCAGCCACACGGGGACUGAGACACGGCCCCGACUCCUACGGGAGGCAGCAGUGGGGAAUUUUCCGCAAUGGGCGAAAGCCUGACGGAGUGACGCCGCGUGGGGGACGAAGGCC
rnacentral:rRNA from 1 species